CCCGUCCGGCGACCGGCGCACGGGUGAGUAACACGUAUGAAACCUGCCCGUAGCAGGGGAUAAGCGGAAGAAAUUCCGUCUAAUACCGCGUAACAACCCAUGGAGGCAUCUCUGUGGGUUUAAAGGAAGCGAUUCCGGCUACGGAUGGUCAUGCGUCGCAUUAGCUUGUUGGCGGGGUAACGGCCCACCAAGGCGACGAUGCGUAGGGGUUCUGAGAGGAAGGUCCCCCACACUGGUACUGAGACACGGACCAGACUCCUACGGAAGGCAGCAG
rnacentral:rRNA from 1 species